UACGUAGGGGGCGAGCGUUGUCCGGAAUUACUGGGCGUAAAGGGCGCGUAGGCGGCCCGCUAAGCCCGCUGUGAAAGACCGGGGCUCAACCCCGGGCGUCAGCGGGGACUGGUGGGCUGGAGUGCCGGAGAGGGAUGCGGAAUACCUGGUGUAGCGGUGAAAUGCGUAGAGAUCAGGAGGAACACCUAUGGCGAAAGCAGGUGACUGGACCCGUAUUGACGCUCAUCCACGAAAGCUAGGGGAGCAAACAGG
rnacentral:rRNA from 1 species